UCAAGAUUCUCCCGCGUUAAGUGAACUUCAAAUUAAAAGUAUAGCCUCAAGUGAAACCAGCAACUAACACCAAAACGGCAUCGGCGUCAUCAACAGAUGACUAAUCACUGAAGCUCACCGUUGUAAUUUCACUCCUGCGAUCAAAACUUCUGCAGAAACAGCCUCCUCCUGCUCCUCCUCCUCCUAACAAUCUUCCUUCGGAAUCCGACGCUCUUCGCUGGAUUUUCAUCGAUCUCUAUUCUCUGUUUGGAACACAAUAAAAUGCAGACAUUUGAGUCAAAAUUUAACGCGAUUAGGUUUUGACAAAACAAACAGAGCAUAAUUGCGCUCUGUUUUGUUUUUUUUUUUUGAAAGACUGAAGAGCGAAAACAAGAGCUUCGACUGAGAGAAGAUCUCAAGGAAGCUGAAGGUUAUAGAAUUUGUUUCUCUCUCUUUCCGCUUAGGUUUUUCAAAAAAAAUUUUCUUAUUUUUUGUGUGUGUUAUAGAUGCUUCACAGUGUGAUUUGUUUCCACAAACUAGGUUAUGCAAAUGCUUUUUCUUUAAUAAUUUGGGGAAAUUAAGGCCUAAGCAAGCCGGAGACGGCUCUGAUCGCAGAUUUAACGAUGCUCUUCACCGUCGAUUUCUUAGACAAGUGCCGUUAAAGAUAAACAAGGAAGAAGAACAAAUAAUUCAAAUAGAAAACUACAAUUUUCGGGUGAUUCGACUGACCAUUUUUACCUCAAAUUAGCGGCAUUUUGAAUCAGUGCGGUUAAUUGAGUUAAUUCAAGUGCUGUUGCGUAAUCUCCAGGAAAUAGUAUUUUCUUUAAUUUUUUAACACCAUGAAUGGAAUAUUUAUUGCUUUGAAAUGCGUUUUGAUUAAUAUAUUUAAUUUGCUUCACAUGAGUUAUCUGUAAUUUUUGACACUAUGAGAUCAAUAGAGAUUUGUUUUCUUCA